ensembl:lncRNA
GCCAGUCGUUCACCAGAAAUGUGAUUUUAUUAUUGCAUCCAAUUCAACAUUAUUCAAAAAAUAUAUAUAUAUAUAUAUUAUUUUGUUUAUCAUUGGUCGUCAUGGAAACAUACGAGGAAGUCAAAAGGAACAAAAUUUAAAUACAUAUUUAUGAACUAAAACACACAGUAACACAUUAACACCUCCAUCUUAAAGGUCUGGGAUCAGGAUGGGAAUAACACCUCCAUCUUAAAGGUCUGGGAUCAGGAUGGGAAUAACACCUCCAUCUUAAAGGUCUGGGAUCAGGAUGGGAAUAACACCUCCAUCUUAAAGGUCUGGGAUCAGGAUGGGAAUCGUCUACGUUGGAAUAUAAUAUAACGAAUUCCAGAUUGUAGCUUUACUAACUAGGCUGAGAGCUGAUCUGAUAUUCAUUCCAAAUCUACGCGGCGCCUCUGUUGUAGUGGAGAGGGGUAGGACUGGGGGAGGAGUGGAGAGGGGUAGGAGGAGAGGAGUGGAGUGGGGUAGGACGGAGGAGAGGAGUAGAGAGGGGAGGGGUAGGACGGAGGAGUGGAGUGGAGAGGGGUAGGACGGAGGAGAGGGGUAGGACGGAGGAGAGGAGAGAGGAGUGGAGGGGUAGGACGAAGGAGAGGAGUAGAGAGGGGAGGGGUAGGACGGAGGAGAGGAGGGAGAGGGAGAGGGGUAGGACGGAGGAGAGGAGUGGAGAGAGGGGGAGGGGUAGGACGGAGGAGAGGAGUAGAGAGGGGAGGGGUAGGACGGAGGAGAGGGGUAGGACGGAGGAGAGGAGUAGAGAGGGGAGGGGUAGGAGGGAGGAGAGGAGUAG